CCCUUAGAUGUUCUGGGCCGCACACGCGCUACACUGAAGGAGGCAGCGUGUACUCCUGGAUCGAAAGAUUUGGGUAACCCGCGAAUCUCCUUCGUGCUAGGGGUUGAGGUUUGCAAUUAUCCUUCAUGAACGAGGAAUUCCCAGUAAGUGCAAGUCAUAAGCUUGCGCUGACUACGUCCCUGCCCUUUGUACACACCGCCCGUCGCUACUACCGAUUGAAUGAUUUAGUGAGGACUUCGGACUGGGACCGAUGCGGCUUUCGGGCUGCGUCGGUAUUCUGGAAAGAUGUCCAAACUGUAUCAUUUAGAGGAAGUAAAAGUCGUANCA
rnacentral:rRNA from 1 species